GAUGAACGCUGGCGGCGUGCCUAAUACAUGCAAGUCGAGCGAACAGAUAAGGAGCUUGCCCCUUUGACGUUAGCGGCGGACGGGUGAGUAACACGUGGGUAACCUACCUAUAGACUGGGAUAACUUCGGGAAACCGGAGCUAAUACCGGAUAACAUUUGGAACCGCAUGGUUCUAAAGUGAAAGAUGGUUUUGCUAUCACUUAUAGAUGGACCCGCGCCGUAUUAGCUAGUUGGUAAGGUAACGGCUUACCAAGGCGACGAUACGUAGCCGACCUGAGAGGGUGAUCGGCCACACUGGAACUGAGACACGGUCCAGACUCCUACGGGAGGCAGCAGUAGGGAAUCUUCCGCAAUGGGCGAAAGCCUGACGGAGCAACGCCGCGUGAGUGAUGAAGGGUUUCGGCUCGUAAAACUCUGUUAUUAGGGAAGAACAAACGUGUAAGUAACUGUGCACGUCUUGACGGUACCUAAUCAGAAAGCCACGGCUAACUACGUGCCAGCAGCCGCCGUAA
rnacentral:rRNA from 1 species